GACGAACGCUGGCGGCGUGCUUAACACAUGCAAGUCGAGCGAUGAAGUUCCUUCGGGAAUGGAUAAGCGGUGGACGGGUGAGUAACACGUGGGUAACCUGCCUCAUAGAGGGGAAUAGCCUUUCGAAAGGAAGAUUAAUACCGCAUAAGAUUGUAGUUUCGCAUGAAACAGCAAUUAAAGGAGUAAUCCGCUAUGAGAUGGACCCGCGUCGCAUUAGCUAGUUGGUGAGGUAACGGCUCACCAAGGCGACGAUGCGUAGCCGACCUGAGAGGGUGAUCGGCCACAUUGGGACUGAGACACGGCCCAGACUCCUACGGGAGGCAGCAGUGGGGAAUAUUGCACAAUGGGGGAAACCCUGAUGCAGCAACGCCGCGUGAGUGAUGACGGUCUUCGGAUUGUAAAACUCUGUCUUCAGGGACGAUAAUGACGGUACCUGAGGAGGAAGCCACGGCUAACUACGUGCCAGCCGCCGCGGUAAAAC
rnacentral:rRNA from 1 species